GAUGAACGCUGGCGGCGUGCUUAACACAUGCAAGUCGAACGAUGAAGCCCAGCUUGCUGGGUGGAUUAGUGGCGAACGGGUGAGUAACACGUGAGUAACCUGCCCUUAACUCUGGGAUAAGCCUGGGAAACUGGGUCUAAUACCGGAUAGGAGCGUCCACCGCAUGGUGGGUGUUGGAAAGAUUUAUCGGUUUUGGAUGGACUCGCGGCCUAUCAGCUUGUUGGUGAGGUAAUGGCUCACCAAGGCGACGACGGGUAGCCGGCUUGAGAGGGUGACCGGCCACACUGGGACUGAGACACGGCCCAGACUCCUACGGGAGGCAGCAGUGGGGAAUAUUGCACAAUGGGCGCAAGCCUGAUGCAGCGACGCCGCGUGAGGGAUGACGGCCUUCGGGUUGUAAACCUCUUUCAGUAGGGAAGAAGCGAAAGUAACGGUACCUGCAGAAGAAGCACCGGCUAACUACGUG
rnacentral:rRNA from 1 species